rnacentral:tRNA from 1 species
CAUUAGAUGGCUGAAAGUAAGCAAUGGUCUCUUAAACCAUUUUAUAGUAAUUAACAUCUACUUUUAAUG